CUGGAAGAGACAAAAGACCUCUAGCUUCCUCCUAAACUGCCAUCAUAACAUACACAUCUUGAGAACUGAGUAACUUAUCAGAGGAUACCAAUUUUAUGUUGACACAAGAAUCAAAAAGCAACGACAUCAGGAUGUCCAACAACAAAAAGAAAUCAACAGCAACUGCAAAAUUUUACAAUAAACCAACGUUGGAGGAGGAAUUGCACUCUGGUUACCUGUUCAAGUCCCCCGCUCAACAAACCCGGA